UACGUAGGUGGCAAGCGUUGUCCGGAAUUAUUGGGCGUAAAGCGCGCGCAGGUGGUUUCUUAAGUCUGAUGUGAAAGCCCACGGCUCAACCGUGGAGGGUCAUUGGAAACUGGGGAACUUGAGUGCAGAAGAGGAAAGUGGAAUUCCAAGUGUAGCGGUGAAAUGCGUAGAGAUUUGGAGGAACACCAGUGGCGAAGGCGGCCUUCUGGACAGUGACUGACGCUGAGAUGCGAAAGCGUGGGGAGCAAACAGG
rnacentral:rRNA from 1 species